GGAGGAAAAGAUUGAUAGCUCGCUCGAAUUUCUUAUACUUGCAAGUGAUGGACUGUGGGAUGUUGUCUCUAAUGAGGAAGCCGUUGCUAUGACUAAACCAAUUCAGGACCCAGAAGAGGCAGCGAAGAGGUUGAUGCAAGAAGCAUAUCAGAGAGGCAGCGCAGAUAACAUUACUUGUGUCGUCGUUCGUUUCUUGGCGAAUCAAGGAAGUCCCUCUCUUGCAACAUCUGGGUAAGACUGAUUUUCCUAGCUUUUCACCCUCUGGUUCUGACUCGUUCGAAAGUCUCGACUGAACUGCGGUAAUAUGUUCGGUGGUCGAUAGUCAUAGGAAAUUCCAGUAACAUUGUUGAUUGUACUUAUUAAAAAAAAGGAUAGACAUAACAAGAAGUUGUCAGGUUGGUUUUUGUGCAAUAUACGGUGUCCGAGUUGCUGCCUACAUAGUCUUUAGCUUCCUGUCUGGAGGUUGUAGAAAUGUGCAAUUGGUUAAUUUGUAAAGAGUCUUUAAUGGAAGUGUUGUUUCUGU
rnacentral:misc_RNA from 1 species